CGGCACUCAAGGUCUCUUCUAGGUGUUCUGCCAUGAAGGGAGUUGAAUUCUUCACUUGCUGGUCAACCUUCAAGCCCUUCAGACCUGCUUCUACCUCCUCCACUGAAAGCACAACCCCUGAAUGUGCUGAGAAGUUGAGAACGUCCAGGUUAAAUCAAGCAAAGAGAUAUCUGUCCCGCAGGUCCUUAUCGCUAAGACGGUGAUCCUUCUCAAAGGUCCGGGCAGAGAUUAUCCUCCCACUGCCAAUCCUACGUCCACCAAGCAGACGAAGCCCAUCACUAUCUUUCUCUAAUGGACUUCCUGAGCGCCGGGAGCUAACAGCGGCUGUCACGUGGCAGCCCCCUCCAAAGCUCCGUCUCUGAGGGCUGAGAACAACAUCUAAGUCAUCUUCUUUCACACGCUCUCGUGGAUCUGGAAGGACGUGGGAAAGACAAAGUUAAACAAACCAACAAGGGUGUUUUCUUCUUUUUUAGAUAGUAUGUCCAUGACUGAUGGGAGGA
rnacentral:lncRNA from 1 species